CGGGACAAACAAAAACCCGAAAAUCAAAUUUCAAACCCACAUAUCUCUUUCUCUCUAUGAUCAGAUCUGCUCUCUCUCUCUCUCUCUCUCUCUCUCUCUCUCUCUCUCUCUCUCUCUCUCUCUCUCUCUCUCUCUCUCUCUCUCUUCACUAUUAAAUCAAAGAAGAAAACAAUAGUUUGUUUUCUUCAAGCUUGAAAUUUGAAUCACCGACAUAUAGCAACUCCCCAAAUCACCACAAUUGUUGCUCUUUAUCUCUUUCUCUGUAAACAUCACCGCCAUAAAAGUUCUGGUAAACUCAAUCUAGGGUUCAAACGGCUGACGGAGGCUGACCAAACAAGGGUUCUAACUACUAAUUUAUCUCCACACGUAUGUUCUUCAGAUUCAUUCAUGUAUAUCAUGGGGACUCACGACCUGAUUUAUUUCUACACGUAUGUCCUCCUUGAUGUCGAAAGUCUUUCUGACUUCUACGAAAAGGGGAUCUGAAAUGUGACUUUGAAAUCGACAAUUUCAGAAAAUCUCAAGGUUUUAUGUAGUAUGAUUGUUGAGAAGUGGAGAGUUGAUAUUCCGUUCAUGUUUGGUUUGCACCAAAUUAGUGUUACCAUUGUGGGAAUGUGGCUUCAAUAUUGAGCUUCAACGAGAAAAUGGGCGAAUUACAUAAGGAUAGCAGGUAGAAGAGCAACAAAUUGCGCCGCCAUCCCCUUAUAGUCAACUUCUAAAUGAUGGUGUUUUUGUUUGGUAACAUCUAGAACUUGUUGAUUUGUGACCUUUUCUAUGACUUCAAGUUCUAAAGUUGAGCUUGCUAUUGGCUUUAAAUAUCCUUAUUGCAUUUUCGUUUUUGGUAGCAUUUGAUACACCUUAUAGUCAACUUCUAAAUGAUAAUGUUAUUUUCCAAAAUGGUGUUUGAAGGGAUUGAGGAAUGAUCGACUUCAAUGAGGUGCAUUUGUGUAGAAGUUUGUAAAUUUGGACAUGUAGGUUUACGGACUCUCUUAUUUGGUUACGAUAACUGCUCCUUUUGGCUUAAAGGUGUGUAUGAAAAUUGCAACAGGAGCCCAAGCUGAGAGUUUAUUUGCUUAUUUAGCAGCCAUGACGACAAGAUCAAAACUAGCACGAAAAGAUUUGGAUACGGCUGCACAAUCUGGUCACCCUGGUGUGUCCGCUAAUGAAGUUGAUGUGUGGCCCAUGAAGCAACCAAUGCUACUGGUAUAUCAAAAUGCUGACAUGUCACGUUUUGUUCUCAUUCAGACUAUAAGAAGAGGAUGAAGACAUGGCCAUUAAACCUGAAGAUGUAUCAUGUGCACAUACAAUCUGUAAGAAGAAAGACACAAUGAGCUGAAUAAAUGAACAACGUUGUCACUGAAUUCUACUUCCAUUAGCGGAUUUGGUAACGACCACCAAGCAGGCAAACUUAGCUAGCAAACCAUUCACUAAAAAAACCCUUAAGGCCACUUUUGAGGUACUUCGCCAUAGUAUUUACAAUGUUCAUUCAAGUUGAACUUGAUUCUGAUGAAGAUCCAGGUGAGUAUCUUGCAUAUGGUAUAUGAGUAACUAUUGAAUAGGUGGUUUGAUAAACUAAAUCUUGUAAGCUACUUUUGUACAAAGGUGUCAACUUGCUGGUAAAAAUGAAUUGACUUUUAAUUUUAUUGUCAUUUUUGUUUUGUGUAUUUUUGAAAAAAAAUGGUGAAUUCUAUGUUGUUUUUAACUGGGAUUUAACCAGAAGUGAGUGUACAGUUCAAUAGUUUUUAAUUUUUACA